AUUGAACGCUGGCGGCAUGCUUUACACAUGCAGGUCGAACGGCAGCGCGGGCUUCGGCCUGGCGGCGAGUGGCGAACGGGUGAGUAAUGCAUCGGAACGUGCCCAGUAGUGGGGGAUAGCCCGGCGAAAGCCGGAUUAAUACCGCAUACGACCUGAGGGUGAAAGCGGGGGACCGAAAGGCCUCGCGCUAUUGGAGCGGCCGAUGUCGGAUUAGCUAGUUGGUGGGGUAAAGGCUUACCAAGGCGACGAUCCGUAGCUGGUCUGAGAGGACGACCAGCCACACUGGGACUGAGACACGGCCCAGACUCCUACGGGAGGCAGCAGUGGGGAAUUUUGGACAGUGGGGGCAACCCUGAUCCAGCCAUGCCGCGUGCGGGAAGAAGGCCUUCGGGUUGUAAACCGCUUUUGUUCGGGAAGAAAUCCUCUGGGCUAAUACCCCGGGGGGAUGACGGUACCGGAAGAAUAAGCACCGGCUAACUACGUG
rnacentral:rRNA from 1 species